UUGACGGGGGCCCGCACAAGCGGUGGAGCAUGUGGUUUAAUUCGAAGCUACGCGAAGAACCUUACCAGGUCUUGACAUCUUGCGCCAACCCUAGAGAUAGGGCGUUUCCUUCGGGAACGCAAUGACAGGUGGUGCAUGGUCGUCGUCAGCUCGUGUCGUGAGAUGUUGGGUUAAGUCCCGCAACGAGCGCAACCCUUGUUACUAGUUGCCAGCAUUAAGUUGGGCACUCUAGUGAGACUGCCGGUGACAAACCGGAGGAAGGUGGGGACGACGUCAGAUCAUCAUGCCCCUUAUGACCUGGGCUACACACGUGCUACAAUGGACGGUACAACGAGUCGCGAACUCGCGAGGGCAAGCAAAUCUCUUAAAACCGUUCUCAGUUCGGACUGCAGGCUGCAACUCGCCUGCACGAAGUCGGAAUCGCUAGUAAUCGCGGAUCAGCAUGCCGCGGUGAAUACGUUCCCGGGCCUUGUACACACCGCCCGUCACACCAUGAGAGUUUGUAACACCCAAAGUCGGUGGGGUUAACCUUUAGGAGCCAGCCGCUAAGG
rnacentral:rRNA from 2 species